UGGAACCCCCCCCCCCACACACACACUGAAAGCACAGAACAGGGCACAUAAUUCCGACGGCAAUUCCCCUUCCAGUGCCGAUGGAAUUCAGCCCAGUCGAGAGCCUUACGUCAGGCCUGAUUUUUUUUUUCCCCUCCGAGUUAGAAUCUGCAAAUCCUGGCCCCGGUAACCCCUUUCUGCCGCCAGCUGCCCGAGGAGGGUCUGGGAAUCGUGCCCUUUCUGCCGGGAGAACUCAUGCAACCGUCAGAUUCCUGGGCACCACGGAGUGUGCUGCAGGGGCAAGCCGAGGCAGAGAGAGAGAGAGGAUUUCCUGAGAGCCAAGCUGGAGCUUUAGAGCGGCGGCUCUCCGCCUUCCUACUGCUGCGACCCCCUAACGUUAGUUUCCUCAUGCUGUGGCGACCCCCCGGACCAUAGCACCAUUUUCUCUGCUACUUCGUUAACUGUGGUUUUGUUACUGCUAUGAAUUCUAAAGUCAAAUUAUGUGUUUUCCGAGGGUCUUAAGCGACCCCCAGAGGGGUCGGGACCCACAGUGUGAGAACCACUGCUUUAGAGCCACAGGAUCAGGUGGAUGGCGGGAGUGGCCUACCCAGCAGAGCAGGCUAAACCCACGGUGACGGUGACGAGGUACAGAGUUCCCAUGGAGGGAAAGGAAGGUCCCUAGCUCCCCAGGACCACAACUGCGGGGGUGCGCCUCCAUUUCUCAGACUGGCUGAGGCCUCCCAAGCCCUCCAGGGGCACGGGGAGUAACAUCUCUACUUCCAUUCAGUCCCAUCAGGAGACGGUGGAGCUAUGAUGCUCCUUUCAUUACCACUGAUGGAGUCAGAAGCAGAUAGCACGUUAGUCCACCAGGAACACGGUUGGUUUACUUACUGGCACUGGGGACAAAACUCGGGGCCUUGGGCUGGUUACUGAGCUCAUGGUCUACCACCGAAGUACAACCCGAUCGCCCGCAUGCUGUGUUCGAGACAGGGUCUUACAUAACCCAGGCUGGCUUUGCACUGACGCUCUUCUACCUGCCAACGGCUGGGAUUGCCGUUUACUGAGAAACAGGGCAGAAAAACCCCAGCAUUCCUGGGUUUGCUCCUUGGAAAGGCUGUUAGGGCCGGUCACAGCCCACAUCCCUCAAGGGACAGGCUUCGCCUGCCCAUGCAUCCCCUGAUUGAGUGGUCCUUCCCUUUGACGGGUCUGAGACUCAGAGGGCAAGCUGACCUGGAAGCCGGCUCCUGCACAGCCUUGCCAAGUGAGGUACGGCUUCUGACUGACGUGUGUCUGCUGCGGUUAAUUUUAAAUAAGAUACGGAGUAUUAUUAAAUGUAUAUUUUAAUAAAGCCAAUAGUUAUUUUACUUAUAGGAGCUUUAAAAGGAAGAUACAAAAUGUAGAGUUCCAGUUUGGAAGGUCACAACUAUUCACAUGAUGUCCUGCUGAUGCCGAGCAAGGCAGCCAUGCUUUGGCCGUGCUGAGGACACGCUCACACGCACAUACAUGCGCUCUGGCGAGAAGAAGCCUCUGCCAAGCGCAGCACCUGGGGUUACCAGUGUUCAGGGCAAGUCGGUGCUACAGGCGGCAGCACCCACGUGGACACUAUACAAACCGCUUCACACGGUCUCACGGCCAUGGAGAUGCAGUGUCUUCCUUAACAGAGAAGAGCAGACCGGGGAUGACAGUUAGUGUCAUCUGGGCCGGGGCACAGGGAGAGACCUUGGCCCAGGGUGAGGUCUUCGGGAGGCACUAUGAAAAUGAGAGAACUGCAGUGGACUAGAACUCAACACACAGGGCGCUGUGGACACGUUACCCAAGGAGAUAGAAACUUUUCACAAGUAAAACAGCCACAAGGAACUCGGAACAGAUUGGUGCGCACAGUGUGACAGUUAACACAGACAGCAGCCACACAGGGCUGCUGUAAAGUACGUGCCUGGAAAACUCUAUGUACAAAAUAGUUCUCUGUAAACAUGGUGAGGUGAAAUCUGAACCCUCGGAGAAGGCUCGUCAGCACAGGCAGACGUGGCACCCGCCCCCACACAGCACAAAUGACAACAGCCGAGGCCUCCAACAGCCUGGACACAGUACUAAGACGCAGGUGGCUGGGCUCGGACACCCGACAGGUCCUCUAUAAUAUUCUUGUGUGUGAAUGUGUGUGUGCAUAUGUGUGGUGUGUAGACAUAGAUUCUUUUUGGUAUUUUUAAAUAUAAAUUUAUCUGUAGAAAAUGAGAACAUAAAUGUGCUAUUACAAUCUUUGCUGGAAAAGCUUACAUGGUGUUAGAAAGAAUAAACCAUUUAUUAGUAGUUAACAUAUAUUAAAAUGGUUUAAUGAUUUAAGAAAAUAUAAAAAAAAUUAAUACUGUCAAACUUUCAUACCAGAAAAUAUCAUGGAUUUUUCUCAAUUAGACAUUUUCAAAGAUGAAAUAUGAAAAUUUUAAAUAAGUUUUAUAUAAAGAACUUUCUGCAACCUCAAUUAAUAUAUAGUGGGAAGUGUCUACUCUAUAUAGAUAUAUUUAUUAUUAUUUCUCAAUUUAAGCACCAUUCAAUUCUUCUGGAUCCAUUCUGGCUGGAAAAUAUCCCCAAAUCUGUUUAAUGGCACAUGUUAACUAAAAGUGAGGUGGUUUUUUUUGUUGCUGUUGACUAAACGAAGAC